GCUGUGGAACUCCUACGGGAGGCAGCAGCGGGGAAUAUUGGACAAUGGGCGCAAGCCUGAUCCAGCCAUGCCGCGUGAGUGAUGAAGGCCCUAGGGUUGUAAAGCUCUUUUAUCCGGGACGAUAAUGACGGUACCGGAGGAAUAAGCCCCGGCUAACUUCGUGCCAGCAGCCGCGGUAAUACGAAGGGGGCUAGCGUUGCUCGGAAUCACUGGGCGUAAAGGGCGCGUAGGCGGCGUUUUAAGUCGGGGGUGAAAGCCUGUGGCUCAACCACAGAAUGGCCUUCGAUACUGGGACGCUUGAGUAUGGUAGAGGUUGGUGGAACUGCGGGUGUAGAGGUGAAAUUCGUAGAUAUUCGCAAGAACACCGGUGGCGAAGGCGGCCAACUGGACCAUUACUGACGCUGAGGCGCGAAAGCGUGGGGAGCAAACAGGAUUAGAAACCCGGGUAGUCCUACCACGU
rnacentral:rRNA from 1 species